GACGGCGCCCCCUGCCGGGCGGAGCGCGCGGUCCUCCCGCGUGGAGCUCGGCGAGGCUUCCCGCCUGGAGCGCGGCUCCCUCUCCCCGGUGGUGUGCGGGAGGGGCCGGGGCCGGUGCUCCGUGUUCGGCCCUGCUCGGCCCAGGCAGGAGGACCCCGAGAGCCACGAUGUGGAAAAUGAGGUGGAGAAGGGACUCAACUGUCCUCCAAACCGCCCCCAGGCCCUCCCAGUGAGGACUAUCCUGACAGUGAUUCCAAGUGUAGUGCAGCAGAAGCUUGGGGAGAUGUAUAUGCUGGGAAGAAUAUGAAGAAAAACUUGGAAGCAGUUGUUGCAGGAAAGGAAAACUCUCUUCCUGGCAAGAUUUCUGACUUCCAGAAGUAUGCAUCCAUUGGAGAACUGAAGGUGAUUCUUGCCAUGCACACUGCACUGCAUCUGAAUCCCAGCUUUGGUGCGGAUAAAGCCUCCAACUCAGAAAUUCAGCAGCAGUCCCUGUGUUUUUCCUCUGAACACUACGUAAUAUGCUGUCAGUUUGUCUCCAGGUGACUGCAAAUCCUCCCUGGUGCCAAAGGCUCACAAAAUAUUCAGUGUGUGCUCGUGAUUUAGAUGGCUGAACUGUGGAAAAACCUUACUGCAGGAUAUUUUGAGAGCAGCUCCCUGCAGUUCUUCUCAGAACUGGAGUACUCCUACAUGCUGUCUUCCUUAUGGCAGAAAAAGAAACCAGUUUUCAAUGGCUGUGAACUGGCUGGUGCUUGGGACAAGUUUUCCUAGCAGUACAAAACUGUGGAAGUGCCAGCCUCAGCUCUACUUUCUGUCAGCAUAACAGGAACGCUGAAAGUGUCCAGUGUUGUAAUGUGGAUCCAGCAGAAUGCAGUGAAUUUUUAUUCAAGCUUGGAUGCAGUGUAAAUUAUUUAAACACAAAUCCUGAAUUUUCCAGCAGAGCAAGGUAUGAUACAGCCUAGGUAAAUGAUGAGAAUCUGUCCACAGUGUAAUCUGAAUACAGUAUUUAUAAAUUGAUGUAUAUUUUGUAGUGUGUUUUGAUUCACUUCAGUUUAAUUUUCAUUUAUUUUCUCAGAGUACAUAUUUAAGAUUUCAAAUUAUUUUGGAUUUUUAGUGAUUUACAUUUUGUCAUCCAGAACUGAAAACCUGAAAGACAAGAACAAUGAGAAAAGAGCAAAACAUCUUUGUUUUAAAUGAUAGAGCAGGCGAAUGAUGAGUCAUAAUAGGAACCGUAAGUCUUGAUUUCCCACGUCAGAUGGGAUCAGCUGAUGUUACUGUGCUUUUGAAACAAAAACAUGUGAUGAGCGUAAGCAACUGUCUUAAUUCUUCUUGAUGUUGGCUUAGCGUAAUUUCCCUACUUUAAAGUGAAAAAGGGAUCAUAUAUCCCAUACUGAGUUAACAAGCCUUGACUGUAGGUGUACUCAUUAUUACUAUUACUUCUAGAGAGGCAAUUAUACUGAGCGUAAAACAUUCCUUACAUUUCACUGAUUACAUUUUAAGUAGCAGGUCAUGACUCAAAUUAAUGACCUCUGUGGAGAGUGUUCAUUAACAACUGUCUUCUUUAGUCUUUCUCUAAGGCUUUCCAAGUUUGUGUAAACAAUAAUUACAGCUCACAACCUGAUAUCGUGUUUACAUUGAGUAACACCUUCCCACAGUGAAGCAGUGGGAUUGCUUAUGCUAUAUAGUGGGAGUUAGAAUACAUUCUGUGGCUUCUAUCUGAGCCUGAACUGCUUCGAUGAUACAAAAAAACAGUAGAAAAUUCUUACAGUCUGUAUGCAAUUAUUCAAUCAACCCAUCCUCAUACUUCUAGUAGAUGAAUACUUUAGAUUACUUGAAUCCAAAUCUGUAUGUUAAAGGCAUGCUGGCUUUAUUCCGCAUCUUCAUCUUUUCCACUCAUCUUUUUUGAACUUACUUAUCCAUUUUACUUCUCAAUUUAUUGCAGGCAUGAAAUCAUGGUUUCUUUGAAGAAUAAUUGUUUUUUGUCUAAUAUUAUGCUUCAUAACUUCAAAGAAUGAAUGUCACAGAAAAUUCUUGCAUUUCAUAAUGCCAAAGUAGGCAUGAGAUCACUCAUUUGAGGAGCUUCAAGGGCUGCAGGCAGACUUCUUGAGGUCAGGGAAAUCCCUGGUGUCUGCAGCUCCAGGUAUCUGCAGCAGUCCAGCUGCAUAUUUGCAAAGCGUUAUUGCAACUUCAUCAAAACUUAAAAAAAAAAAAUUACAAAAUGGUAUCAUCCAGAUGAGAUUAUUUAGCAUUACGAGUCCUUAUGUAGCUGUUAGAAUAAUCACUUAUUUGCUAAAUAGAGUGCGGCAGCUCCUUGGGACCCAUUCCAGUCCAUCAGGUAAAUCUGUAAUUAGUAUCCAGUUGAUCUGAAGCAUGGUGCUGUCAUUAUAUUGAUAUAGACAUACACAUUAGAAAACACAACUUCCUUGGCACAGUAGGCAAUUUGCAGACUCUAAUAACUCAGGCAUUUUAUUAUUUUUUUUAAAGUGUAGCGAUUUUUAUUUCUAAGUUAAAAAAAUAAACUCAUAGUUGCUAUAGCUUUUUUAAUUUUCAUUUAAGUGGAAAACGAAUGACAAGUAAUUUUUUUGCCAUGAUUUCUAAGUUUUGAAAAUAGUCUGAUGAAUUUCUUAACAGAGAAACUUUUUUUUUUAAAGCAAAUACGUUGUGUGGUGACGUUAAGCUGUUCACAGCAGAAAAAUGGAGGAAGGCUGACAGUUGUUUUUGUGGGAAAAAAAAGAAAUCUGGAUUUAAUGUAGUCAUCUGGAAUCCGCUUUUAUUUUGUUUGUGUUUCAUAAUUUAGUUAUUGAUGUGGGAAAAGCUCGUGCCCUUUUACAGUAAACCGAGGUCCUAUACUUUUGCAUGCAGGUUUAAAAUAUAUAGCAAAUACUAGUAAAGAAGAAAAUGAAAUGUGUCAACUUGUAUGUACUAUACUUUCAUCUUAUCCAAUAACGAAUUAUUACACUAGGGGAGGAUUUGGCUGUAUAAAUGAAAUUCAGGCAUAAGGAUGUUGUGAAAUUUCUAUGGAAAGGAGCAGAUGCAUAAAUCUGUUAGCUGGGGUAACUUCCCCACUCUAUUACCAACUGUAUUAUAUUUGCAAGUCAUUCAGUAUUCUUUUGAAUAGUUUCUAAACUUUCCUUAUUAACUUGCAUCUCUUUUUCUUACGUUGACUAGGGGUUUGUGAUAUGAAAAGCAAAGCUCAGAGGACUGAUGUGCAUUGUCUGAUGUUUGAAAAGCGGAUACUGUCUACGGACUCAACUACAGGAAAAUGGGUUUCUCUUGUCAGUUUCUUCCAGGGCCUCAACAUUCUACAAUGCAAGCAUAAGACAGAUUUCUUAAUGGGCCAACAUUAGUACCAAACUAUUCUCAUUCAUGUGUCAUGUUUGAAAAGAGUGAAUGUUACAUGGAGCAUUUCAACCUGAUACAUUUUUGAACAGAAAUGCAAAAGCUGUGAAUGAUUACAUAUGAUAGAAUUGACUGAUUUUAGUGUUUAGUCACAGUCAGCGGGAAAAAUUGUCUUAAAAAUAAACUGCAUCUUGUAUGCUGAUAAACCUAGUGUAAGUAAAAUCAGAAAUAUGAGUGCUCAUUGAACGAGACAGUGAGACAAGUCUUGUGACUAAUGCAGUAGACUGGAACUGACAAAAACCUCAUAAAUAAUCAUGUUAACAGUUUAUUUGUAGGAUGUAGAAUAAUAGGGGCAAGAGAAUAAUGCUAAAUUUCAAUUAUGAAAUAUUUUGAAAUGAAACAAAUUUGAGACAGCCAAGCUCUGGUUUUUUUCAUGUUAUUUUUUUCCCCUGUUUAAAAAAAAAAAAAAUUGAACUGAAGCACUUGAGAGCAUCUUGUACACUCAGUCUCUGGCUUUUUCGUCAGUCCUAACUUUCUUUUUUUGCAGUCCCAGAUCUAUAAUACGUAUUAAAAAAGUAAAAAGAAGAAACCUUGUGCAAGAGCAGAGGCUCUUCCUUGUGCAGUACAGAUACUACGGCCACCAUAGGUGGGCUUUGACCUCUGUAGGAGUAUGGGGCUCUACCUUUGUAUGACUGUGACAUGAGUGGGAAUCUUUUUAAACUAUUAGCACUGAACAAGUUCAGUGAAGAUAAAGUCUUUCAGAAACAGAAAUCUCCUUACAACAUGAUGAAAUGCAUUACUAGCAGAGGCCUUGGAUUAAUUCUUCACUCCAAAUCCUUCCAGAUGAGUGUUUGUUCAUAGACUUUAAUUUUCGUAAUAGAUUUAGCUUUGGCCUAAAGGAAACUUGGGACAGAAAUAAACUUUGCAAAACUGCAUGGUGCACAAAUACACAUUUAAUUACAGUGAGUAAAUAAUGGAGGAGACCAGAAACUGGAAAUCAGAAUAUUCAAAGCAUUCACAGAGAAUAAAAAUUAAAUUUGAUGUUUUAGACACAUUGCCUGGUAAUGUUGGUAUUAAGACCUCAUCCAAUAGUUUAGGAACAUGUUUAAGAUAGGAACUUCAUGUUAUUUGAAUGUCACAGACUCUAUUGACAGACUGUUGAAGAGCGCCUGUUUUAAUUUUAGAAUACUGUGAAUGAUAAAAAUAAUGUUCCAAAUCCAGUACAGACGUAGAAGUUGUGUGAGUGAUAUUAACAAUUCAGUAAACAAGCUUGGGCCUCAGUUCCAUUCUUUUAAAAACAAAGAAUAAUGAUCUAAUUCAUGAAACUGUUUUGUCACUAUAAAAUAUAAUGGUAUGACAGUCAAAAAGUAUAGUAAAAGAUGAUAAAUACUCUGGUUUUUUUAAUAUAUGUAUGUAUACUUUCAUUUAGAUACCUAUGCUUCUACUUGAUCUAAGGAAGGACAUAUCCUGAAUUAAUCUAGGACUACUUUGUCAUAAUGCACAUAAAAAUAUGUAUAUUAAAAAAUGGCUAGAGUUGUUUGGAACAGGUUGCCCAGGGAAGUGGUGGAGUCAACGUCCCUGGAAGCGCGUAAGGAAGGGGCAGAUGUAGUACUUAGGGACGUGGUUUAAUGUGGCAAUAUUGGUGGUAGGUGGACAGUUAGACUAGAUGAUCUUAGAGAUCUUUUCCAACCUUAAUGGUUCUGUGAUUCAGUAGUUUACUGAGAGGCUCAUACAAAUUACUGCUCCAACUGCACUGAGUUUUCCAAGCAUUCUGUUAUUUCUAUUAACUGCUCACCUUCUGUCUGCCUCCAGAUCGUCCAGCUCAGAUUCUUACAUCAGAAGGCAAACUGGAAAUGAGUUUACAUGUUCAUGUGGUGAUUCUCUUUCAAGAAUUUAAGAGUUGUUUUGGAGAACAAAUACGUGAAAAGAAACAAGGAGGGUGUUAUACAGCUACACAGGCUGUUAGGAGAAGAGGAAGAAAGGAUUCCCCAAAGAGACAAGAGAUUUGAAGCACAAUGAUGAGAGUAGAGUGCAGCAGAUAAGACCAGGUAUCAGAGAAUGACAUAUGGGGUACAGGGAAAAGUACUUCUAGUCACUGGUUUCCUCAUGCACCAACGUACUGGGACAAGAACAUCAAAAUAAUGUAGUUACAGGGGUUUUCACAACAUUAUUUUUGAGUAAGCUGUUUAUAAACAGCUGUAGAAGCUUAAAGUUUUAUAACAUAUGGCAUGGAGCUAGUUGUAAUGCAACGAGAUAAUGUUGAAUGUUCCUUGCCCACCUCUUUCCUGCUUUCUGAGGUUACACAUCUAGAAGUUCAUGUGAUGCCUGUAACAAGACUUUCAUCACUCACUAUGCCCCUAACUUUUUGACACAAGCUGUACUAUUAACAUGGCAAGUGCAUAACCUGAAUGCACACAUCUUGUGAUCCUGCCCAUUAAACAUUUCCUGCUUGUGGAAGCAAAGGCUCCAGAAUUGUCAUCUGCCUUGUAUUCCCUUGCUGGAAGCCUACAUAAAUUGCAGGGAGGAAGUUGCAGACAUGCAUUUGGAAAGCCUUUUGGUCAGAAUUUUGAUUGAAAUUCUGUAACAUGAAACUGCCAGGUUACACAUCUUCAUAUGAUAAAUAUCAUUUAAAUAUAAUGAGGAAAAUGUUAUGUUGCUUUUGUUUUAAACCUGGUGAGUAUAUAUUCUGAACAUGCAUUUGGCGUGGAGGACUUCCAGCUAGUCUUGUAUUAAAGGUAGCAGAUAAAAUGCCAGUCAAAUAUAAUACAAUGAUUUAUUAAUUCUAAGAGAAUUAGAAAACAAAAUAGUUUGUAUAAUGACUUCUAUUGGAAUUUUGAACGAAAUCCUGAAGUUCACUUUUUUACACUGUGUAAUAAAAAAUAAUAUGUGAUAGGUGAUCUGAAUUUUCUCAGUGCACAGAAAGAAGGUACAAUAUUUUUUCGAGGAAUAUAAUUAGCAAGUGCACCACAGAAGGAAAAAAAGAAUUCAAUAAAAAAUGUAUCAAAUUUUCUUCUCUAGAGUAAAACCCUUUGAAGUAUCCUUCAAAUACUUGUCCAAUUUCAUUGCUCCCCAUGUUGCUGCCUAUGCCUCCUUCAAUAUAUUCACACUUAUACUCAGAUCAUGUUUCACUCCUAAUCUAUGAAAGCUGGAGGACAGAGGUGAUAGGAAUAACAGUGUAAGUUGCACAUCACAUACUGCAGUUCUUUCAUUUUGAUCUUCUUUCAUCUUUCCUCAGUUUUAAGCCUCUUGUCGCUUAGGUUACAUCAUCCUGUACUAAUAGGUUACACUUACCAAAGCAAUAGGAAUGUGUUAUAUACAUUAACUUAUACCUAUCUGUCAAAACACUUUUCUAAGAGAAGGUUCCUUAAAAAGAGAAUGUACUGUGCUUGUCCUUUCUAUCUGCUAGGAAAGCUCCUUUUUUAAUAUAUAUCUUGGGAGAAAAGGCUACUGACAAUGUAUGGAACAAUUCUGUCACCAACUUCUUGGUUCUCUGAUUGUUUCUGCAUUGCUGCAUUGUUUAAAUCAGGGGAUUUCUGAACUCGGACUCACUUUCAUUAAGGCACAUAGGGCUGAAAUGGAAGAAGAAAUUACAGCAAUGUCACAUGCUUAAAUACACAUGAAGUGAAAUGAUCAGAAAUCACCAGCCUGGGGCCCAAUAAAAGUGAAGCAGUUUCUGAGUGCCUGGAGGAGUCUAACGCUGAGACUUUGUACUUCCGAUGACAGAAAGGUUCUUAAAAAGAGAAACUCAUAGGAGGCAGUGGAUAGCAAGGAAGAGCAACACAAAAUCAAUUCUGAGCAGCUUCUCUGUCUCAAUUUCAAACAUCACCUCCUCCAAGCUCAGGAGUGGUCCAUCUUGAUGAGAAGGAAGUUAUGGAAAAGCAGCAGGAGGCCUGUAUGGGUGAAGGAUCUCCUGACUAACCUCAGCCAUAAAGUAAAUGCAUGCAAGACAUGGAAGCAGAGAUGGGUGACCCAGGCAGAAAACAGAACUGCAAUACCUAUUCUGAAGCACGAUCCUUGACUCUAAGUGGAUUCUGAAUUUUACACCUAUGUUUAGCUCUUCUGAAAAGUCAAAGAAUUUAUUUUUAAGACACUGAAAAUGUGCAGUUAACAUAGAAAAUCACUAUUUGAGGAGCGACUGUUGUCAAAACAUGGUCAAAACCAGUUGGGAGUUGGGAUUCCUAAGAAAGAUCCAGCAAAGUGGACAUAUGCUGCCAAGGGAGAGGACAAGAACAGACCCAGACUGAGACUGGAUGGCUGACCUUCAGAGAAGCCAUGAUGCAGUGAAUAGACAGGAGGAGAGAAGGGACUGGAGCAGGUUGGAGGAAACGUGCUCAACACAGUCAUCAUGUCUCUGUGAUUUCUUGUGAUUGCCAGCCCCAGAGGACAGAGGAAGCCAUACCAUUCUCUAGUGUUGGUAGAGUAAUCCAGCAGCACUAGCUGCUCCAAAAUGGGAGAUGAAUGAUGCGCUAUCUCCAAAUCUGAAUAAUUUGGCCCAAACAUGUAUGCAUACCUUGAGAUGCUGUAAACUCAAAAGCCAUAAAACUUGCACACACAAUUCUCAAAAGAUGAAACUUGUAAUAAAUUUAGGCUAUUAUAGUUAUAUUCUCUUGGUUUAUAUCUGCUUGAAACUUCUUUUUACUUAAGUGUGAAUCUUUCAGAUUCCCAACCAAUAAUAGUAAAUUAAAUAGAGCCUCUGUCUAAGCUGCAGCAUAGCACGCAGUUGCCCAGUUUAUACAGUCUCUGAUACAGCAGUGCUGCCCCAUGGGCAUGUCUGGGCAUGUUUGGGUAAUAGCAUAGGUGACAAAAUGUUUUCUGCAAGCAGCUUGGAUGGGACCACCCCGUUUGGGAUAUGAAAACAGUUAGCUCUGUGGCAGUGUGUCCUGCCAUACCAUCUGACAUCAAGCCAGCUUACUAGUGUAGCCAUAGGUUUAUGGGACUUGUCUGCACUUGAAAGUCUGACUUGCCUAGUUGCUGGCUUUGUCUGCAUUGUUCUGCCUCGCUUUCUCUACCAUUGCAAGCCACAGUGUUGUUCAGUUUCUCCGUUACUGGUUCAUAAAAUGUGUUUUAGAAACUUGAACCUCAUUUCUGUUAAUCUCUGUGUUAGAAGUUAUGCUAUACAUUGCAAGCAGUUCUGUAUUGCAGGUAGGCGAUGCUUGCUGCUCCACGGUUUGUCCAGGGAGAGUACAAAGAGCACCAUGACAUAUCUGGGCAUAACUUCAAGUCUUAAAGUCCUAUUGAGCAAGGUCUGAAGCUCGUAUUCAGUGCCCAGGAGCAUCAUCAAUGAAAAGUUUAUUCCUAAGCCAAAAAAUGGGCUGCAAGUCUAAGAGCUAAAGCAUCGAGAGCAUCUUCCCUGUGCACCAAGAAGUCUCAUGUUUGAGUCAGAACCUACCACAGGGAAAGACAUGGGCAGAGCUGUAUGCCUACAGCUUUAUGUGUUGAUAAGAAGAGAAAAUGCCAGGGCCUAUCAUUUCUGUUAAUUAAGGAGGGAAGUAAAACAAGUACAAUUUUUAGAAUCGCUUAUUACAGUAAUGUAGGAAAUCUGUUUUUUAAAUGGACUAAAAUGUAGCUGCUCAAUAUUGUGCAAGAGGCAUUAUAUGCUUUUAUAAAUCUGUUACAAAUUGAUUAUUCUUAAUUUAAUUUUUCAAUUAAAUUAUUUAUGUUUUUAUUCAAUAUUGAAAGAAGCAAGCGAAAAAAUAGGUUAUAUUAAAAAAUUCAAUUAAAAUCAGCCAAGUGCUUAGUUCUGAAGAUUCUUGCUCUUGUUAUGGAUAAGUGGGAUUUUAGUUGUUCUAAUUUAAUUGUCAAAUCCAAGAACUAUCCUAAAUCCACAUAAAGCUGUUUUCAUUUAUUGUCUGUGAAAACAAACUUGCACUGAUUCUUUGGUCUGAAAGCAGCAGAUUAAUAUUUCAUAUUAUAUAGUUUAUAUAUACUGUACUUUGGACUGAUAGACUGUAAUCAGUCUGCUUUAAGUCAUCUUCUAACAUGUCUCAGAUUAAAUUUGCUUUUCUUUUUAAUACUGAUAUGAAAAAAUAGUUACAUUUGCUAAACAAUACAUCUGAAUCCACCAGUCAUGGACAUACUUAAUAAAAGGCAGAAAAUCUGUGGGUGGAUACAUUAUUUUCUUUUUAAUCUGUUAUGCUCAUUUCCUCCCAAAGGCAUGCACAAGGUAAGUGCAGAGCCCAAAGGGCAGAUGAAACUUUGCUUUUACCAGCAGAUCUGGCUUGCAAUCCCACCUGAGUUAUCCUCAACUGAACUUUGUUUGAAAAGUUGCAGUUGUCCCUCUACCAACACGUGCUGCUGGGUGAUAACAUAAUGCUGUACCUAUUAGAUUCACAGUGAGAUACUAGCAGAUCUUGUAGUGCUAAAUAGCAACACGUAUAGAGAAGUGGCUAUAGUCCUAAAAUAUAUAUGAUAGAAGGGUGUUGCAAUCACUAAGCUGAAAGAGGUCAAACCCUAUGCCAAUGAUGUUGAUCAGUAUCAAAUUUUGACUGUUCAGUAACAGCUGAGGCUCCCACAAGUUGUGUAUUUGUCUUCCCUUACAAAUGAGCAAAAAGUUACAGCAUGAGCAAAGCCCUAAGGGGUAAAUAUUCCAGAUGUAGUGCUUUAGCCAGUGAAGUCACUGAUGAUCAGCUGUGGCUGAUUAUGGAAAACCACAUAGUGGAAGCUGUCUGCAAUUUUUGAAACAUUUAGAUCGAAAUAACAUAAUCAAAUGGGACACUGACUGAAAACUGCAGAGAGCACACUGCAUAUAUGUUAUGAAUAAGGUAAUUAAAUACUUCUGAAUUUUACAGUAUGUCAACUGUAUGCAUCCUGCACUGAAAACAUGCCUCCUUCAAUUUUUCUUUCAUAGGAAAUUUGUGUCACAAAACAUUUUAUUCAGCACUUAAACUAUUGUUCAGGGUUAUUUUCACUCUUAAGACAAUUAGCUGAACUUGAAUAUAUUUGUCACCUUUAAUCUCUGUAGAACAUCAUACAGAACAUUCAUGUUUCUCAUUUUUGUUAUUAAAACUACCAUUCAAAACA